AGCUAAUAGAUACCCAGGUAGUCCACGCCCUAAACGAUGUCAACUGGCUUUACGGAGUAUCGACCCUCUGUGAGGCGAAAGCUAACGCGUUAAGUUGACCGCCUGGGUAGUACGACCGCAAGGUUAAAACUCAAAGGAAUAGACGGGGGCUUGCACAAGCGGUGGAGCGUGUGGCUUAAAUUCGUCGCUAAGCGAAGAACCUUACCAGGGCUAGAAAUCCUACUGCACGUCUAGCGAAAGCUAGAAAGCCUUCGAGGGUGUAGGACAGGUGAUGCAUGGCUGUCGUCAGUUCGUGGUUUGAAUCGUUCCCUUCAGUGGGGUAACGAACGCAACCCUCGUUGCCAGUUACAAGUGUCUGGCGAGACUGCCCCCGUCACGGGGGUAGGAAGGUGAGGAUGACGCCAAGUCAGCAUGUCCCUCUGAUGUCCUGGGCUGCACACGCGCUACAAUCGCCUUUACAAAGGGACGCAAUGCGGUAACGCGGAGCAAAUCCUAAAAACGAGGCGCCAGUUCGGAUUGGGGUCUGC
rnacentral:rRNA from 1 species